AGCAGUGUGGCUCAGUGGAAAGAGCACGGGCUUGGGAGUCAGAGGUCAUGGGUUCUAAUCCCAGCUCCGCCG
rnacentral:tRNA from 1 species